GAUGAACGCUGGCGGCGUGCUUAACACAUGCAAGUCGAACGGACUUUUAAUGAAGCCUAGCGAUUUAAAAGUUAGUGGCGGACGGGUGAGUAACGCGUGGGUAACCUGCCUUGUACUGGGGGACAACAGUUGGAAACGACUGCUAAUACCGCAUAAGCGCACGGUCUCGCAUGGGACAGUGUGAAAAACUCCGGUGGUACAAGAUGGACCCGCGUCUGAUUAGCUAGUUGGUGAGGUAAAGGCCCACCAAGGCGACGAUCAGUAGCCGGCCUGAGAGGGUGAACGGCCACAUUGGGACUGAGACACGGCCCAA
rnacentral:rRNA from 1 species